UGCACCCACCGUUACAACAGGACGUUUAGGCUUCUGUGGCACUGGUCAAAAUGUUAUGGCUGAUUAGUUUCCUCACAGUGAUGAAUUGGUUCUCUUGGGCCACUUCAGAAGUUGUUCUCACACAGUCGGGCUCAGAACUGAAACGGCCUGGAGAGUCCACCAGACUGACAUGUUCCACCAGUGGAUUUGAUCUCAGCAGUGCUUAUAUGCACUGGAUCCGGCAGUCUCCUGGGAAAGGACUAGAAUGGCUGCUUUAUUAUUAUUCAUCAUCUAGCAACAGCUAUUCUCCAACCAUUCGAGGGCGAUUCACAGCCUCCAAGGACAGCUCCAACUUCUACCUACAAAUGAACAACCUCAAGCCAGAAGACACGGCUGUGUAUUACUGUGCGAGAGACACAGUGAUGAGAACUUAG